rnacentral:tmRNA from 1 species
GGGCCUGUACCGGAUUCGAUUGCAAGCGGAAUCUGACGGAUGCACGCCGGAGGCUCGGCUCCGUAAAAACGGGAACUUUUUAAAUGCUGAUAAUAAAAGCAGAAGAUCUGUCGCUGCACGUGCAACUCGCCGCGUAGCGCUUGCGGCCUGACUUUUCAGGCUCCGUCUCCUUUGAGCUGCCCACGGCUGAAAGAUGAGGCGUCAAUCGAGUGGGGAACUCUCUUGCGCGGCUGACCUCCCCUGCGCAAGGGCGAUUUUUCGGAAGUAUGCCUGAAACAAGGUCGUCGGUGAACUUCUUUCGGGCGAGACUGAUCGCCGACUAAGCGUGUAGGAUCCGCGGAGGAACCUUGUAAGACCGCAGUUCAAGUCUGCGCAGGUCCACCA